ensembl:rRNA 5S_rRNA 5S ribosomal RNA
GCUUACGGCCAUACCACCCUGAGCACGCCCGAUCUCGUCUGAUCUUGGAAGCUAAGCAGGGUCGGGCCUGGUUAGUACUUGGAUGGGAGACCGCCUGGGAAUACCAGGUGCUGUAAGCU